GUUCGAGCGUCAUUACAGCCCUCAAGCUUUGCUUGGUAUUGGAUUCAAUCACUAUGAUUCAUCCUAAAAUCAGUGGCGGUGCCAUUCGGCUUCCAGCGUAGUAAUUCUCUCGCUGUAGGAGACCAGGUGCGUGCUUGCCAGUAACUCUUAAAUUUAAUAAGGUUGACCUCGGAUCAGGUAGGGAUACCCGCUGAACUUAA
rnacentral:misc_RNA from 1 species